UCGAACAGAACUAAAUAAUACAAGGCGAAAAAGUAUAUGGACGGUAGAAAUAUAUUUAAAAUAAAAGUUUUAGCUGUAUCUACAAUAAAUUGUCGAGAUUACUGGGAAAAUAAAUUGGACUAAGGAUUCGUAACCAAUUAUGCAGAAGAACAAAAGAACGCGUACAUCAGAGGAAAGUGCUUCCAUUGUUUAUGGAGUGCUCGAUGGCGGCCAAAAUAGAAGUACCAAUUGUCAGAAAGGAAACAACAGAAAUGUUCUUCCAAGGGGGGCAAAAGGAAUAGCACAGCGACGCAACCGACAUCCGCUGCUUUCUGAAGAUGGUGCUCCCAGCGGGCAACGGAUCUAUAGUAACACAAAAUUGUGUGUUAUAUGCGGGAGCAGUGAAGAAAUUGUUGAUUUAUCGACCAAUCCAAUAAUGAGGAAAACGAUGGCAUCCUAUUGUGGGAAUGAUAAUUUGAAUCUCGAUGAAUGUUUAUCAUCCCUUUGUAUAACUUGCGUAUUUAAAUCAAGAGCAAUCAAAGAAGUUCAAAAUAAUAUAAGAGUACGAUUAUAUGGACUUAGUAAUGGUCUUAUGUUGAAAACGACUGAGAAAAAUGAGCUUAAUUAUGAAGAAGUAGAACAUACCAAAGAUGUCUGUCCGGAAGAAACCAAGUUUGGAAUAAAGAAAAAUAUUGAACACAAGACAGAGAGAACUCUUAAAUCUAUUAAAUGUGCCAAUAGUGUUUGUAAGACGACGCAAGCUUCACCAAUAAGAAAUGCUGAAGAGAGCGGAAUUGUUCCGCACAUAUGGAAUAAUUCGCUUACAACUUCUAUUGAAGGGUCCAAUUCAAACAUUCCCCUAUCUAAACAUCCGUACCAUCCCUCUUCAAAUAAGUAUUUUGACAAACACCGUAUUAUCGAUAAAUCCGUUGCCAAAGUUGUGACAUCGGACAAUAGAAAUACUGUCCAAUCGAAAAAUUUGGAUAUGAGCGAGAAUGUACACGUGCCAUCAAUACAACAUCUGGAAUCAAUGAUUACAGAGUAUACUCCUGGGCUACAAACUUCCAUGCCAUUGCGGGAAAAUGCUGAGUUAAUAGGAAGACCCAUACCGAGUUCACAGCUAUCGUCUUGUUCAAAUUCAACGUACUCGCAGAAUGGUGCCAGCCAUUCAAUGCUACAAGUUAUUCGGGAACGCUCUGAAUCUGUUUUGAUUACAGAAUCUGGCGGGAAAAUUAACAACUAUAAACGUUCUUCGCUCCCGCAAACCCAGAGAUUGUGUCAAUACUGUGGUAAAAGCUAUAUACGAAAAGACCACCUUACCAAACAUGUAAGACGCUGUCGCAAUCUGUUUGCACGAAGCUUGCCAUCUUUGGCUACCACUAGCGAAGAAAAUAAAGGAAAUGUUAGUUCCAAGCGCUUUCUAAUCAAUGGAGUGAACAAUUUUAUCUCUCAAACCACCUUUGAGACGUUGAAGCGAGAACGAAAAUUUCAUUGCACCGAAUGUUUAGCAACGAUGAAUAGCUUAACACAGUUGCGGCAGCAUCGUGCCACACAUUUGCGAGAGUAUAUUUGUGAUAUGUGCAAUAAAAAAUUUAGUACUUUGCAUGAACACGAUUUUCAUCGCAUCGUUUGUUUGGCAGAAAGGCAGGUAUGGCAGGAACAGCAUCUUAAUGAAGAUGAAAAAGGACUGCCACUAAAUGAUGACAAUAAAUCUAUUGUCCGAUCCCAGCGAUCAUUUAUAAAAUCAACGGCUAGUCGUCGGAUAACACGCGCUCAAAGUAGAGCCAGGACGAAAGUGGUGGAAAAGCCGGUAUUACGGCGCAGAUUAACAGUGUUAACUAGCUUGUCACAGUACAUAUAUGGGCACACUGAUAAUGAGAAUAGUGACCUAGAUGGUUGCGACUUAGGCAAUGAUGACGAUGAUGAUGUUUCCGUAGCAGACUCAAUGGAGUCAAAUCGGAGAGUCUACACUGAUGAUUGGUUAGAUAGACGCAAUUCGAAUGAAAAUGUAGAUGUACCAACAAUGCAAAUUGAUAGUGAAAAGGAGUAUGAUCUUUACCUUCUGGAAAGGCUAAAAGCUCAGAUAAAAGCUCAAGAGUUUACUUGCUUAUCCGAAGACUGCGGUUUCUUCACUGACACAUUGUUGAACCUAAUGCUACAUGAUUAUGUUCAUCAUUUCAAAAGCUCUUGGUUUUAUUGUCAGAAAUGUGGUAGCGUUUUUACAAGCAAAGUUUUCUUGGACUACCAUCUGGAUCGUCAAAAUGGAGGUCGAUUUAUUUGCUAUAAGUGUAACGAACAAUUCAUGUUUCAACAUCAGUUGGAUUUGCAUCUAAUAGCACACACCAAGCAGGUAAGCCAUGCUUGCGACAACUGCAAGUGCGAAUUUCUCACCGAAGGAAAACUGCUUCAACAUAUAAAGCUUGAACACAACAGUGAAAUAGAAAAGAAAUUAAUAUGCAUUCAAAGUAAAACAACGUUCGCAUCCUCCCGGCCAUUAUACGAAAAUGGGUAUCCAAAUGGAAAACAAAAUAGAAAAUAUACCGUAAACAUACUAAAUAUGCGUCUACCGCGAAUGCCAUCUAAAAGACCCUUGGAACUGCCGGGACAUAAACCAUACCGUCGCCGUAUUGGCGUCAUUGAAUUUGAGAAUGAGAGAAAUCCAAAUUGUUGUAGUUGUAAAUAGUACUGUCAUAAUUGGGAGCAAUGUCCACCGGAAGCUAUGCAAACAUAUUUUUUCUAUAAGGUCAAUCCUAGCUUAAAAAUUUACGCGAGAUUUAAAGAAGACCAAAUACUUGAUGGUACAAAACUUUGAUACUUUUAAUGUUACUAUCGUAAUAUGCAAGUCAUUUUGUUGCAAGUGUAAAUCAGCUCGAAUACGUUUAUUUUAACUUUUCUGAACCAAGUUCUUCGCUAGCAUCAAAAUUUAAAGAAUUGCGAUCCAUUUAUUUCGAAUUAUAAAUGGCUAAGAAUUGCUUGAACUAUUUAUAUUUUUGUUUUUACUUAUUAGGUAGCAACAUUUUUUUUUUUGGAGUAAAUGUGCUGCUGCCUUUUUAAAUGUUGAAUCAGUAGGAUAGCUUUUAGUAAAAAGUAUUUCCAACUGCAGCUUUUUUGAAAACCAUUGAAUCUGUUCAUUAGAUACUUAGGAAAAAAGGCUUCAUUUAACACUAAAUAUUUAAAAUUCAUUAGUUUUGCUGUACCCAAUUUUGUUAUUAAAAUAUUAUAGUCGUGAACCAAGGCCAGUGCAUAAAAAGGGGAUGUUGUUAGACCAGCUUAUUUCUUCGCCUUGUUCUUGCUUUUACUGAUUUGACAGUACACCCGUCAAAAUCGAGUUAACUUUGACAGCUAACCCGCAAAAUCAAAAACAAGAUACAUGGAAUUGUUGUUUUUGUAUUCUUGCUACCACCUUUUAUAAACUCGCCUUGGUCGCGAACUUUAAUCCAGCCUUGUGACCACGCAGGCUUAAAGAAGUCUGCACCCUUCAACCCUAAUUAAAAAUUCAAGAGAAAUGAUUAAUAAAAGCAUACACAUACAGACAUCAGCGUUGAUCCGGAUCAACUCGUUAACUCGGAAUUAACUGCACUUUACCCGGAUUAAGUCCAGAGAUAAUUCUCAAAAUGAAUGCGGAUCAGUGGAAUUUUCGUUGACAGCACAGACCAAAACGGCCAGAUAAAUUCCAUUGUGAAUGUAAACUAAACAAAGGAAACAAAGCCAGUGAAUGUCGUGUGAGCGGUAGCCCAGUGGUCAUAACUGUGUACUACUCGUACCACUCAACGGAGCCAGGUUCACUCCUGGGGAUGAGCUUUUUCCAAAAAUUAAAUUUCUUAUUUUUUAUUGUUAUUUUAUUUUGUACAUAAACAUAUUUAUACGUAUACACAGAACCAAAUCGCUGUGCGAAUUUCGUCGGUCGGAGCGAUGCCGCCGGGUGAUAUUCGCUGCAACAUUUCGCCCAGUAAAACAGAACAAAAAGGAAAAUCACAUCAAUUGAAUGGCAAACAAAAAAUAUUAAAAUAGAAAUGCGAAAAGAUGAAUCACCAAAUUUUGCCAUUCUGACUCUUGCU